ACGGAAGGCAGCAGUGGGGAAUAUUGCACAAUGGGCGAAAGCCUGAUGCAGCAACGCCGCGUGAGGGAAGACGGUUUUCGGAUUGUAAACCUCUGUCUUUGGUGAAGAAGAAGUGACGGUAGCCAAGGAGGAAGCCACGGCUAACUACGUGCCAGCAGCCGCGGUAAUACGUAGGUGGCAAGCGUUGUCCGGAAUUACUGGGUGUAAAGGGAGCGCAGGCGGGAGACCAAGUCAGUUGUGAAAUACAUGGGCUUAACCCAUGGACUGCAGUUGAAACUGGUUUCUUGAGUGAAGUAGAGGUAGGCGGAAUUCCGAGUGUAGCGGUGAAAUGCGUAGAUAUUCGGAGGAACACCAGUGGCGAAGGCGGCCUACUGGGCUUUAACUGACGCUGAGGCUCGAAAGUGUGGGGAGCAAACAGGAUUAGAUACCCUGGUA
rnacentral:rRNA from 1 species